GCCGGGUUAGUCAAGUGGUUUAAGACAUAGCACUUUCACUGCUACACGCACGGGUUCGAAUCCCGUACCCGGUACCA
rnacentral:tRNA from 1 species